UGCAGCAACGGCCUAAAAUCCAAUACACAGUUUUAUUCAAAACACCGUAAUUCCCACUGGAGCAGAAACUUGCAAUGAUUGACACCAGCACGGUUUAUCGACCCGAUAUGGUUGACUGGUUUUCCUAAUAUACAGUAAUGGAACAAGGAAAUACACUACACAUUAGUAUUACCACAUAUGAAUGCUCUUGACAUAUCUUGUUCCACAGUGUUAUCACUGAUGAACCCAAACACAGGGUAAUACAUCUCCUUCGCCAUUACGGUGUCAAUAUCACAUCGGGAAGUCUCCUACAUGUAAAUUCUUACCCUCACCGUACAAGCAGCAGCAGUGGUUGUAGGUUCCCUACAGCUAGAGCGGGGGAUCGUGGAGAAGUG